GCUACAAAUGCUGUGGUUAGAGCUUCUGUUCUUGGAUCUGAAGGUCGUAGGUUCAAAUCCUACCUUCGGCUGUAGUA
rnacentral:tRNA from 1 species